rnacentral:lncRNA from 1 species
AUGAUCGAAAAAGCAAGAGAGUUCCAGAAAAUCAUCUAUUUCUGCUUUAUUGACUAUACCAAAGCCUUUGACUGUGUGGAUCACAAUAAACUGUGGAAAAUUCUGAAAGAGAUGGGAAUACCAGACCACCUAACCUGCCUCUUGAGAAACCUAUACUCAGGUCAGGAAGCAACAGUUAGAACUGGACAUGGAACAAUAGACUGGUUCCAAAUAGGAAAAGGAGUAUGUCAAGGCUGUAUAUUGUCACCCUGCUUAUUUAACUUAUAUGCAGAGUACAUCAUGAGAAAUGCUGGACUGGAAGAAGCACAAGCUGGAAUCAAGAUUGCUGGGAGAAAUAUCAAUAACCUCAGAUAUGCAGAUGACACCACCCUUAUGGCAGAAAGUGAAGAGGAACUAAAAAGCCUCUUGAUGAAAGUGAAAGAGGAGAGUGAAAAAGUUGGCUUAAAGCUCAACAUUCAGAAAACAAAGAUCAUGGCAUCCGGUCCCAUCACUUCAUGGGAAAUAGAUGGGGAAACAGUGGAAACAGAGUCAAACUUUAUUUUUUUGGGCUCCAAAAUCACUGCAGAUGGUGAUUGCAGCCAUGAAAUUAAAAGACGCUUACUCCUUGGAAGGAAAGUUAUCACCAACCUAGAUAGCAUAUUCAAAAGCAGAGACAUUACUUUGCCAACAAAGGUCCAUCUAGUCAAGGCUAUGGUUUUUCCAGUGGUCAUGUAUGGAUGUGAGAGUUGGACUGUGAAGAAGGCUGAGCACCGAAGAAUUGAUGCUUUUGAACUGUGGUGUUGGAGAAGACACUUGAGAGUCCCCUGGACUGCAAGGAGAUCUAACCAGUCCAUUCUGAAGGAGAUCAGCCCUGGGAUUUCUUUGGAAGGAAUGAUGCUAAAGCUGAAACUCCAGUACUUUGGCCACCUCAUGCGAAGAGUUGACUCAUUGGAAAAGACUUUGAUGCUGGGAGGGACUGGGGGCAGGAGAAGAAGGGGACGACAGAGGAUGAGAUGGCUGGAUGGCAUCACGGACUUGAUGGACGCGAGUUUGAGUGAACUCUGGAAAUUGGUGAUGGGCAGGGAGACCUGGCGUUCUGCGAUUCAUGGGGUGGCAAAGAGUCGGACACGACUGAGCGACUGA